CAAGGAGGUGGGAGGGAAGGAACUGCAAAAAGAUUCCAUUUGUGUGCUAGACAUUUCUAGCUUACCCAUCCCCCUGUGUGUUGUGUGCAUCUCAUGUAACUUUGCUAUGCUGUAUAUAUUGUACAUACUGGACAAACGAGUCCUAUGAUAUCUAGUCUCUAGGUAUUAAAGAGGUUGCCAAUGUAUGACAAAAGUAGUUAGUAAACUCACACAUUCUGUAUACUCUGUUAGUUCAUAGCAAGGUUGUCUUCUGAAGAGUUGUGAAAGUGUAUCAUCCAAGUGACGGGUGCCUAUGUCACGGGACACAAGAUGGGCUGAAGGGGAAGAAAGGUCGGAGACCAGAAUGUCCUCACCAGAAGACACUUGGAGAUCUAACUAGUUACAUGUGCGUGGUUUCAGUACUACUAUGUAUAUAGGGGACAAAUUCAUGUCCUCAUCUGAAACAUCUAGUCCUUCUAGGUGUUUAGAAGUGCACAAAGUAUGUUAAAAGUAGACAUAGUAAAUAAUACGUGUUGUAGAUUCUGUUUAAACUCAUGGUGAAGUGUUGUCUUUUGGAACUAGAAAGAGAAACUGCUUCUGAGCAAUGCAGCCUUGCUUGUGCAGGUCUAGGAGGGAGGAAGAAAGAAAAUGAAUGAAGAGCCUAAUGCUGAUGCAAGUUUGGUAAUACAAGGUUAUCCAUUGUUGCUUAUAUCUGUGCAUCUUACUUUGCAAUGUAUAGAAAACAUAGGUCCAAAUUUGCAGCACCCAGUCUUCCUAGACUGUAAAGGUGCCAGUGUGUGACAAAGUAGAGUUAGUGAAAAGACAUAUUUAUAGAUUAUGUUAAAAUUUGUAGGAAA
rnacentral:lncRNA from 1 species